GAACGUUCCUCUUUUCACUUCAACAGAAAUCUUGACAAAGAAUCUGAGGAACGUUCCUCUUUUCACUUCAACAGAAAUUCUGACAAUUCAUCUGAGGAACGUUCCUCUUUUCACUUCAACAGAAAUCUUGACAAGUCAUCUGAGGAACGUUCCUCUUUUCACUUCAUUAUAUAAACUGAAAUCUUGACAAAGCAUCUCAUUUCUCAUUUCACUUCAUCUGAAAUCUGUAUAAAGCAUCCGAGGAACGUUCCUCUUUUUCCUUAAAUUGAAAUCUUUACACUACAUUCGAGGAAAAUUCCUCAUUUCAUUUAACAAAAUGUUUACUUCUCACCCAAGGACCUCAAAACAUUUCCUUUUUUAGUAUUUUAAUCAUAACGCAAAAUGUGACUAGCAACAAUCCUCUUUGUAAAACUAAAAAAAGACAAAUUGAAACAACGAUUUUGACAAACCAUAAGUAAAUUAAUUAAUCAUUCUUAAGGAAUCUCGGGGGAGAAUGUUUCAAACAUACAUUAUGUACGAUUUCCUUUAAUUUUUUCCUGUGAAAGGUCAACUUAUGAGUAAACUUUGUGCAAAAUAUAAAGUAAAUUGACCGGAUAGUUUAUCUGUUUACCACAAUCAAAUUUUGGUCGUAUGUCCGAAUCAUCCCCAACAUUUUAUAUGGGAUUAUAUAGGAAAAAGGGGGUUAUCAUAUUCAAUUUCAUAUGUAAGAAAAUACAAACACACGAUUUUGUUUUAAUUUUCAGCAACGGAAGGUUAACAUAUAGGUAAAUUUUUUGCCAAAUUAAAAUGAAAUUGACCGGAUACUUUUUAUGCUAUCCGCCCUCAUAUUUUGUUCCUAUAUUAAACGUGCCUUGGCAGCCAUUUUACAUAGGCUAUAGAAUUGUAUAGAAUAAAAGGAUGUUAAAGGAUCAAAUUUAAUUUUAAUUGUAAUAGAUAAAAAGAUAUCUUUCCCCUAACACAAAAUAUGAAAGGAUUGCGUAUAUGUGUUUACUUUUGCAAAAUAUAAUUUCAGUCUUAAUUAUUGACGCUGCAAUAAUUUAAUUCCGGUUGUAACACGCUUUCUGAUUGGCUAAAAGAUUAUUUUAUAUUGUAUAAAGAAUGUUGUCUACGUCAUAGUAAGACUAACGUCAAAAACGUAUCAAUACGCCUGACAUUACGUUUGAAUUUAGUACAAUUCUACGUCAUUUUAAAGGUCAAAUGGCCGUUUUUAUUUACAAUGAAGAAUAAAAAAUUCAAUUACAAGCAAUGAAUUCAAUAUUUAUUAGUUUUAUACGAUCAUAUAAAAUGGUUUGAAACAGUUUACGCUGUUUUAUAAACCGCUUUGCGGUUUGUCAAUAGUUACAUCAGAGUCUCAACUGACGUCAUCGUAAGACAUUGACUUCGAGGUGGAUAACAUAGAUUUUGAAGAUCUAGAACAGGCGAAUGAUUAAAAUACUUCUGAACAUUUUUCUAAGGAUUCAUUUUUCUAAAAAUAAUUUUUAUGAUAAGUAAAUUUUAAAAAAUAAAAACGUUACAGUGCAGUGAUAACCUGAAUAUUUGAACAUUUAACUCUGCAUUUGUGUUUUACGACAUUAAAACUAUUUCCUUUAAGUAUUGUGAAAUACCCUGUGCAGAGGGCGCAAAAUUGUAAACCCGCGACUGACCUUAAGUUUAUUGUUUCUAUACCCCCCGCAAACAAAGUUUGGGGGUAUAUAAGAAUCACCUUGUCUGUCCGUCCGACUAUCCGUCUGUUCGUCUUCUGUGCAAUUGGACUUAAAAAAGUUUUGCUUAAAUUAAUUGUAAAUAAUUGAUGUGUGAUUGUCAACAUUUUACUGGAAAAUCCUGAUUUUAUUUUUAAUAUCUAUUAUGAUGCAAAUUGAUAUGAUACAUUGCGAUGAUUAUUAUUGCAGGGAUGAUUUUCACUAAAACCCCUAUUGCACAUGUAGCUAAUAAGCACAAUUGAAAUUUAGAAAACAUGCUAAUUAUGUCACUUAUUAAAUAACUUGUUUAACAAGUGUGCAAAACUACUCCUGAUGAUAGCGGGUUUGCAGCUCAUAAUUUAACAAUUUUAAAUAUAAAAUCAAAAACUUUGUGUCAAGCCGCUGAAACAAAAAUAUGAUGUUGGUUAAGUAAUAUAAGGACUGAUGAAAAAGGGUGCACACACACACACAUGCCGUAAACUUGAGGUCACAACUCUAAGCACAUUAUGAGCACUCAGUUGGAGCGCACUCAUUUGUUAGUAAAAGUUGUAGGAAUGCAGUUACACACUGCAGGAGCUGAGUAGAAAUCCCUUGGUCAACUGUCACAUUUUCACCUUGUAAAAAUUUAAAAUACAACAGUACAAUGUUUUUGAAUUUCCCCGCGAACCCACAGCAAUUCCAGAAAUAUAACAGUAUCGUGAAACUCUGGGGGAAUGCAAUCUGGUGUGACAGGACCUAAGCUUUGAGAAAAUAAUCAGGUUACCAGAAAUUUUCAUUUGUCAAAUUCUUUGAGCUGAAUGGUAACAAACAUUAGGAUGUAAAAUUUGAAUUACAGUUCUCAUAUGAAAUGCAAUCAUUAUAUUAAUAUACAUGUAAAUUAUAUCUUACACUAGCUAACAAUUACCACAACCCCCUUCCUAAUAAAAUCACAACAUACACGAGCUAUAAUUCAAUAGUGUACUCGUAGUUUUGAUAAAUCUACAAAUCUACCUCUGGUAUUAAGUAGGAUAUUUUAGGUUAAAAAAAACCAACUCACGUUUUGGCUUUCUUGGAGUACCUCAUGUUUAUCAACUAGAAAAUAUCUAAUAUCAAAAUACUCCAGUAUAUUCUGUAAAUAACUUCUCAGCAUGCAUGGUCAAUAGAAAUGUCAUGACCUAAAGCCCAUAUUCCUCUGCUUCAUUUGGUUUGCUAAUGUCACCGUGGGCCAUUUCAAGCUGAGUAACAACUUGCUGUUACAUGCACAUGCUAACUAAAGGUCCUCUAUCAGAUGUCAAUCACUAACUGGAUGCUGAUAAGAUGUUUGGGGUGUGCUAAUUAUAGUGUGAAAUUUGAGAGCUUUCAACAGCAGAUCACUGCUUUAGGAACAGUUGCAAAAUGUGGUCACAAAUUUAAUUUACAUGCAAGAUCAAGGCUGCAUGUGUACUUUAUGAAGCAGAACAGAAAAUUGUUUGGAAAUUGCAGUUGCAAACUUCGCAGGAUGCAUGCAUCAAGGUAAUGAUGAUUGGCAGUGACAAAAUAUUUUGCCUGGUGGAUUUUGAUUUGAAAUCACUGCAUUUGAAUUGUUUGCUGGUCUAGUGGAUGGGGAGCAUUAAUUUGGACAGAGCUUGAUCGAGAUGGAAGAUGCUUGAAGAUUAAGAUUCUAUAGAAGAUCUGGACAUCCCCCCUGGGAGGAAAUCAAUGAGGCCACAGAAAAGUUCAAAAGCCAUCCAGCCAGUCACACAGUAUGAACAGAAGAUAAACAGAACAGAAGAUUAACCUUGGCUCUUGUCAACCAUGUAUCAAAGACCGAAUUAAGUGAAAGUGCUUUCUGGAAAAUGCAGCUCUACUUGGGAACUCCAUCCUGAAUUUGAUGAAUGCAAGCUUUAUGUUUUUAGUAAUUAUAAAAUCAUAUGCACUGAGACAGCUAUUAAUAAAGUUUAAUUUUUAAUUAUAUAAACAUCUAAUCCAAUUACAAACUUAACUUGAUAUUUAAUAUAAAACGAAAUAUUAAAUUGGUAUUCUUAAUUACAUGCCUAUGUACUUUUAUUGAAAACAAUUAGUUAUAGUUUGAUCUACAAUACAAGAUCAAUUUUUGACACCAAUUAAUAUACAUGUAUUUGCUGCUUAAAAAAUACACAAGGGGUACCGACAGAACAGACCGACCUAAAAUGUAUAAAAAAAAAAGCUGUUAUUUUGAAUUGUAACCCAAAAAUGCAGCGAUAUAAAAUAUUAAACAUUCAAACUCUUUUUUACUUUAUAUCGAGUAAGCAACUAAGAAAAUUUUAGCUGAUCAUCAUCGGGACUGAGCGAUAGUCAAGUACUCGAGUACUUGUUAACAUCCUUAAUAUUUAGGUAAAGUAUAACAUGUUUAAAUGCUUAUUUAAUUUAAGAUUACCGGUAUUUUGAAUUGCUGUUUUUACUUUCAAAUGUAGGAAAUUGGAACAUUCUUCUUGUACCAUGAGAAAGAGAAAAGAGAAACGUUCCUCAAGAUUCCUUGUGAAGAUUUCAUUUGUAGUGAAAAGAGGAACGUUCCUCAGAUGACUUGUCAAGAUUUCUGUUGAAGUGAAAAGAGGAACGUUCCUCAGAUGAAUUGUCAGAAUUUCUGUUGAAGUGAAAAGAGGAACGUUCCUCAGAUUCUUUGUGAAGAUUUUUGUUGAAGUGAAAAGAGGAACGUUCCUCAGAUUCUUUGUGAAGAUUUCUGUUGAAGUGAAAAGAGGAACGUUCCUCAGAUGAAAUGUAGAGAUUUUAGUUUAGGUAAAGAGGAACGUUCCUCUGAUGCUGCAUAAGUUUUUAUAAGAAUAAGAGGAACGUUACUCAUUUUAAAUGGCUGUGUAAUGCAUUUAAAUGUCAAUGAUUCAGGAAAAUUCCAUGAACUUGACUUGUAAAGGCUUAUUUUUGGCAAAAAGGGGUGUAAAUGGAUGCAGAUAUGAAAAACAGGGUCAAAGAAAAGGAAUUUUGAUUUUCCCUUUUUGAUUUGGAUUGUGUUAUUAUUACGUAACUUUUAAAUUGCCAAA